AUUGAACGCUGGCGGCAUGCUUUACACAUGCAAGUCGAACGGCAGCGCGGGGGCAACCCUGGCGGCGAGUGGCGAACGGGUGAGUAAUGUAUCGGAACGUAUCCUGUAAUGGGGGAUAACCAGUCGAAAGAUUGGGUAAUACCGCAUACGCACGAGAGUGGAAAGUAGGGGAUCGCAAGACCUUACGUUAUAGGAGCGGCCGAUAUCUGAUUAGCUAGUUGGUGGGGUAAAAGGCCUACCAAGGCGACGAUCAGUAGCUGGUCUGAGAGGACGACCAGCCACACUGGGACUGAGACACGGCCCAGACUCCUACGGGAGGCAGCAGUGGGGAAUUUUGGACAAUGGGCGAAAGCCUGAUCCAGCCAUGCCGCGUGCAGGAAGAAGGCCUUCGGGUUGUAAACUGCUUUAGUCUAGGAAAAAAGGGGUGCGAGGUUAAUACCCUCGUGCUUUGAUGGUACUGGAAGAAUAAGCACCGGCUAACUACGUG
rnacentral:rRNA from 1 species